rnacentral:rRNA from 1 species
GACGAACGCUGGCGGCGUGCUUAACACAUGCAAGUCGAACGGAAAGGCCCUGCUUUUGUGGGGUGCUCGAGUGGCGAACGGGUGAGUAACACGUGAGUAACCUGCCCUUGACUUUGGGAUAACUUCAGGAAACUAGGGCUAAUCCCGGAUAGGAGCUCCUGCUGCAUGGUGGGGGUUGGAAAGUUUCGGCGGUUGGGGAUGGACUCGCGGCUUAUCAGCUUGUUGGUGGGGUAGUGGCUUACCAAGGCUUUGACGGGUAGCCGGCCUGAGAGGGUGACCGGCCACAUUGGGACUGAGAUACGGCCCAGACGCCUACGGGAGGCAGCAGUGGGGAAUAUGGCACAAUGGGCGGAAGCCGGAGGCAGCAACGCCGCGUUCGGGAUGACGGCCUGCGGGUUGUAAACCGCUUUCGCCUGUGACGAAGCGGGAGUGACGGUAAUGGGUAAAGAAGCACCGGCUAACUACGUG